AGUGGCGAACGGGUGAGUAAUAUAUCGGAACGUACCUAGUAAUGGGGGAUAACUAGUCGAAAGAUUAGCUAAUACCGCAUACGCCCUGAGGGGGAAAGUAGGGGAUCUUCGGACCUUACGUUAUUAGAGCAGCCGAUAUCUGAUUAGCUAGUUGGUGGGGUAAAGGCCUACCAGGGCUUCGAUCAGUAGCUGGUCUGAGAGGACGACCAGCCACACUGGAACUGAGACACGGUCCAGACUCCUACGGGAGGCAGCAGUGGGGAAUUUUGGACAAUGGGGGCAACCCUGAUCCAGCCAUUCCGCGUGAGUGAAGAAGGCCUUCGGGUUGUAAAGCUCUUUCGCAAGGGAAGAAAACUUAUUCUCUAAUAUAGGAUGAGGUUGACGGUACCUUGAUAAGAAGCACCGGCUAACUACGUGCCAGCAGCCGCGGUAAUACGUAGGGUGCGAGCGUUAAUCGGAAUUACUGGGCGUAAAGCGUGCGCAGGCGGUUUGGUAAGUCAGAUGUGAAAUCCCCGAGCUCAACUUGGGAACUGCGUUUGAAACUGUCAGACUAGAAUAUGUCAGAGGGGGGUAGAAUUCCACGUGUAGCAGUGAAAUGCGUAGAGAUGUGGAGGAAUACCAAUGGCGAAGGCAGCCCCCUGGGAUAAUAUUGACGCUCAUGCACGAAAGCGUGGGGAGCAAACAGGAUUAGAUACCCUGG
rnacentral:rRNA from 1 species